rnacentral:lncRNA from 10 species
CCCGGGAUAGUCAGGGCUGAAGGGAACAACCCGGUUCUCCCCAAGCACACAUUUCUGGGGCCUUGAGGUUCCAGUCUGGGCAGCCUGGCUCAGUCCUGCCUGCUCCCCAUCGUGGACUCCUGCAGAGUGGCUGGGAGCUGAUUUAUCUGGGGUGCUACUGCCUAAUAACGAGCCAGGAAGUGCCCUUUCCUGAGCUCUUGGUGCUUUCCCCUCCCCCAAACCCACAGACAGGACAACUCUCUGGUGCGAUGCAGCCGGAGGAGGUGGAGAUUCUCAGGACCUUGGAGCAAGGAGUCUCAGGCUGUGGCUGCUGUGUCCCAUCUGUCUCCAUCUCCAGAUUCUGGGUUCUUGGCAGAGCAGCUGUUUCAGAGACCGUCUGAACCUGGCUCAAAGCAGGUCCCAGGGCACACCAGGACACUGCAGGCAGAGAAAGCCAGCAGCAGCAGCAGCAAUUAUGCUGGAGAUGCCCCUCUCGGGGGUGCCCAGAGGUAACAAGCACCUGGGAGCCAUGGUUGACCAGACGGCCGGGAGGAGGCUGGGCCCAGCAGACUCUGCAGCUGUUGGCCAGCCCAGGCUUGCCUCUCUCCAGGCUUCUUCUUUUGGGAGGAAAAAGA